UGGGGAAUAUUGGGCAAUGGGCGAAAGCCUGACCCAGCCACGCCGCGUGAGUGAUGAAGGCCUUCGGGUCGUAAAGCUCUGUGGGGAGGGACGAACAAACCGGGUGCUAAUCAACCCGGUCCUGACGGUACCUCCUUAGCAAGCACCGGCUAACCCUGUGCCAGCAGCCGCGGUAAUACAGGGGGUGCAAACGUUGCUCGGAAUUAUUGGGCGUAAAGCGCGCGUAGGCGGCUACUUAAGUCGGAUGUGAAAGCCCCUGGCUCAACCGGGGAAGUGCACCCGAAACUGAGUAGCUUGAGUGCAAAAGAGGGCUGCGGAAUUCCCGGUGUAGAGGUGAAAUUCGUAGAUAUCGGGAGGAACACCGGUGGCGAAGGCGGCAGCCUGGGUUGACACUGACGCUGAGGCGCGAAAGCGUGGGGAGCAAACAG
rnacentral:rRNA from 1 species